rnacentral:tRNA from 1 species
ACACAAGUGGCCGAACGGCUAAGGCACCGGUUUUGAAAACCGAGGUUCCAUUUUGGUAGGGGGUUCAACUCCCCCCUUGUCCU